rnacentral:lncRNA from 1 species
GAAAUCUCAGAUGAAGAGAAUGUUGGGCAAUGGAUGAUGGAGAAAAAGGAGAAACAAACAGAAAGAGAACAGAGAUGGCUGGAGACAGAGACAAGGAGAGUCAGAAAGCGACAGAAAAAUGAUUCUUCAAGGCGAAUGACUCGAAAUGGAGAUUUCUUCUAACCCGGCGUGAUCACCGACAACUUUUGCAGGACGGGAUGAAACUCCUCUGGGUUUCCAGUCGGAUGUGCGAGUGGGCUCUCUUUAAAUUAUAAACCUGCAGUCUAACAGAGCCUUCAAGGUUAUGGCCAUGAGAAAUGUGAGAGGAGAUAACACCUCACAUCUUGAGGAUUAACAAGGAGAAUUUUUUAGUAGCAAAAUUAUAUUCUGUUUCACCCCACAUAA